UGGGGAAUAUUGCACAAUGGGGGAAACCCUGAUGCAGCGACGCCACGUGAGCGAUGAAGUAUUUCGGUAUGUAAAGCUCUAUCAGUAGGGAAGAAAAUGACGGUACCUGACUAAGAAGCCCCGGCUAACUACGUGCC
rnacentral:rRNA from 1 species